rnacentral:misc_RNA from 1 species
GAUGAAGAACGUAGCGAAAUGCGAUAAGUAAUGUGAAUUGCAGAAUUCAGUGAAUCAUCGAAUCUUUGAACGCACAUUGCGCCCGCCAGUAUUCUGGCGGGCAUGCCUGUCUGAGCGUCAUUUCAACCCUCAUGCCCCUAGGGCGUGGUGUUGGGGAUCGGCCAAAGCCCGCGAGGGACGGCCGGCCCCUAAAUCUAGUGGCGGACCCGUCGUGGCCUCCUCUGCGAAGUAGUGAUAUUCCGCAUCGGAGAGCGAUGAGCCCCUGCCGUUAAACCCCCAACUUUCCAAGGUUGACCUCAGAUCAGGUAGGAAUACCCGCUGUACUUAAGCAUAUCAAUAAGCGGAGGA